GCGGCAGAAGGCUGAGGCAGACAAAAACGACAAAGCUGUCAAAGACCUGGUGGUGCUGCUGUUUGAGACUGCUCUGCUCUCCUCUGGCUUCUCACUUGAGGACCCCCAAACCCACUCCAACUGCAUCUACCGCAUGAUUAAAACAAGCCUGGGCAUUGAUGAAGAUGAGGUCACUGCAGAAGAGCCCAGUGCUGCUGUUCCCGAUGAGAUCCCCCACUGGAGGGUGAUGAGGAUGCCUCUCUCAUGGAAGAAGUGGAUUAAAGGCUCCUGGGAAGCCCCUGCCCUCUGUAUAGUAUCCCUGUGGCUCCCCCAACAGCCUUGACUUAAGGCCCUGACCCACCUGGCUCUCUGCUCAUGUCUACAAGAAUCUCUAUCCUGUCCUUGUGCCUUAAGGCAGGAAGAUCCCCUCCCAGAAUAGCAGGGUUGGAUGUCCUGUAUUGUGGUUUUUUGUUUGUUCUAUUUUGUUCUGAAAUUAAAAGUAUGCAAAAUAAAGAAGAUGCAGUUUUAUACAAA
rnacentral:lncRNA from 1 species